UUUUUUUUUUUUUUUUAUGUAUAUAUAUAUAUAUAUAUAUAUAUAUAUAUAUAUAAAACGAAAAAACAGGGCAGCAACUCAAACGAAAAAAUAGGGCAGCCUGCUGAGUGCUGAACCCACCUUGCGCCGCCAGGCCCGCCACCACCUGCCGCUCGCGCCACCGCCGUCGGCCGUCGCUCCACCGCCGUCGCACCACCGGUUCACCACGGCACCACAGGGCAGCCUGCUCAAGAGGAAAUGGAACGUUUUUUUUCUAAAAAACGUAGAGGUGAAUCUUCAAGUUGUUCAAUUACACCUUUUAUUGGAAGAUAUUGCAACAUUUUCAGUCGAUGCGUACACGUCGCAAUCAAUUGUCAUCACUUUCUCAAACAGAAACAACUAGUUCACCAAGUAUUUAUUCUUAGGUUAUUUGUAAUGUAUUGAACUUUUAUAGCUAUGUUAUUUCAAAUGUAUUAGAACUAUAUUAUCUAUGAAAAUAUUGUUUUUUAUUAAUAUUA